AAACACUGACACAUAAAUAUGUACAAAAACUCCUCUGAAAUCUUUUCUUUUACCGCACGAUUCACCCCAAGAUCGUUCCCUCGACCCCCAUCUCGCUCUCCCCCCGCCCCACGGGCGAGACUUCCGUACUUCUUAAAGCGGACAAAUUUCUCCUAGAGAAGAGAUUUAUUUUCUUCGAGAAUAUGUUCUUGUUUUGCCCGUCUCGAUGGCUGUCCACUUGAAAUUAGGGUUCUAGGGACGUAGUUUGAAUAAAUAUUCAGCUAGUUCAGGGUUUUUCUCUUUUCUCUCUUCCUUCUUUCCCUUUGGUUGGAGAGGGAAGGUUCGGAUGGUCGGGGCGGUGAUCAGUUGAAGCUUGGAGGACGAAUCUGGCGGCCGGCGAGGCGGUGGGGAUGGUAUGACGAGGUUUUCUUGGCCCUAUGGAGGGCACCAUGUCUUCAUUUGCGGUUCUUUCACAUGAUGGACUGAUCCUCGGCCAAUGAUGCUCAUGGAUGGAUCGCCUACAGAGUUUCUGGCGUUUUUUGAUCUUCCGCCGGGUGUUUACCGGUUUGAUGAAUGGCAACCAUGUCUUAUUGAUGAGUAUGGGGCCAUGAACAAUGUGACAUUUGAAGAAGACAGGGAAAUGGUGAAUGACAUUUCUUUUCACACAUGACAUUAUGGCUUUAGCAAAAGAUGAUAUGUAUGCUUGCAUCCAGCUUGAUCAGAUGACCAUGGUGCAAGCGCUGGAACAGGUAUUACAGGCAAAUGGCUGCAGAUGAUGCCACACUUGUUUGCAUUCAACUUCUUUCCAUGAGAUUUUGGAGCCACUUUCUGAUCCAGAAAUAUGAAGACUGCUGCGGAAUGACAUCCGUCUGGCUGAGCACCAAAGCUGCUUUUUUCCUCAGCUGAUCUACUCUGAGGAGGCUGAUGAGGAUCCCUCUUGACCGCAGAGAUUGCUCUCUUGUGAUUGCUGAAUGCUUCAAGAUCUUGUAGAAGAGGUCUAGAGCCACCUCCUUGGUGGAGAGGGAACCUUUGUCCAGCACCUCUAGAAUUGCUUCCAUGCCCUGGUUCUCCACUAUGACCGCUGCUGCAGACGAGACAUCGCCAUCAUCCUCGAGCAAGCUAUCAAGUGCCACUAGUGCAGCGUCUGAGGCACUGGAUGCCAGCUCGCUCGCCACUGUCUGCACCAGUGGCCCCACGGCACCAGCAUUGACAAGGCAC